AUGGCUGUCUUGGGGCUGCUCUUCUGCCUGGUGACAUUCCCAAGCUGUGUCCUAUCCCAGGUGCAGCUGAAGCAGUCAGGACCUGGCCUAGUGCAGCCCUCACAGAGCCUGUCCAUCACCUGCACAGUCUCUGGUUUCUCAUUAACUAGCUAUGGUGUACACUGGGUUCGCCAGUCUCCAGGAAAGGGUCUGGAGUGGCUGGGAGUGAUAUGGAGUGGUGGAAGCACAGACUAUAAUGCAGCUUUCAUAUCCAGACUGAGCAUCAGCAAGGACAAUUCCAAGAGCCAAGUUUUCUUUAAAAUGAACAGUCUGCAAGCUGAUGACACAGCCAUAUAUUACUGUGCCAGAAA